GACUCUCCAGGUCCCCACUAGACUCAGAAGCCCAACUGGCUUCACCUAGUGGAUCCCGCACAGGGGCUGCAGGUGGAGCUACCUGCCAGUCCCCUGCCGUGCGCUCGCAUUCCUCAGCCCUUGGGUGGUCCAUGGGACUGGGCGCCAUGGAGCAGGGGGUGGUGCUUGUCGGGGAGGCUGGGGCCGCACAGGAGCCCAUGGAGUGGGUGGGAGGCUCAGGCAUGGCGGGCUGCAGGUCCGGAGCCCUGCCCUGCGGGAACGCAGCUAAGGCUCGGUGAGAAAUAGAGCGCAGCGCCGGUGGGCUGGCACUGCUGGGGGACCCAGUACACUCUCCGCAGCCACUGGCCCGGGUGCUAAGUCCCUCAUUGCCCAGGGCCAACAGGGCUGGCCGGCUGCUCCGAGUGCUGGGCCGCCAAGCCCACGCCCGCCCACCCGGAACUCCAGCUGGCCCGCAAGCGCCGCACGCAGCCGCGGUUCCCGCUGGCGCCUCUCCCUCCACACCUCCCUGCAAGCUGAGGGAGCCGGCUCUGGCCUUGGCCAGCCUAGAAAGGGGCUCCCACAGUGCAGUGGUGGGCUGAAGGGCUCCUCAAAUGCCGCCAAAGUGGGAGCCCAGGCAGAGGAGGUGCCAAGAGCAAGCGAGGGCUCUGAGGACUGCCAGCACGCUGUCACCUGUCAUUAUCAACAACUUGACUAAAAUACCUCUGUGUUUGGUGAGUGAACAACAAUAACGUUUCUUAUUUAUCAGUUACUUUCUAGGCCAGAUUAUUUACAUAUAUUAUUUAAACAACACAAUACUGCUUCAAAAUAUGGGGUGUUUGUUAUUCCCUUUGUCCAAGGAGGAAAAAGAGAAAGAGAUUAAGUAAUGUUUAACUAAAACCAUUGAGCAACUUCAAACUAGCAAGUCAUUAUGUGAGAUUCUAACUUGAAAAAUCAAUUUAAUUAAUAUCACGUUAUAUCUGUGUUCCACGCUGUCUCUAAAAGAAAGAGAAAAAAAUAAACAGUGAGAGAAGAGAGUAAGAUCGUGUGUGUGUGUGUGUGUGUGUGAAUACUGGUGACAAUGAAAGUGAAAGUAGAGCAGGGUUAUUUCAAAAUAGAAGCAAUUCUAGGAAAUCAGCUGCUUUUUUUCUUCUCAACAAUAAAAUCUAUCGUUUAUAUCGGGGAACCAUAAAAUAGCUCCAGGGACAACUGAAUCUUUGUGAAUUAUGUAUAGUUUAAGGGUAAAGAUGAAUACUUGUUUAUUAGCUAAAAGAGCCCUUUUUUCUAAGUUUCUGGCCCUUCCUUCACUAUGCUAAACAUUGUAAUUGCCCUGUGAGCCAAAGGCAGUAACUUCAUUCCAGGGUGAUUAUCAUAGGUGAGAAACUUGAUGAACACAGGGGCCAUGUGGUGUCCAGUCCCUCAGAGAGAACAGGGUAAAUUCAGACAAGUGUGCAUGUUCUUUCUAAUUCAGUGACUCCCUUCUGCACUAGUUUCUAAACUUGUGUCCUUUAUUUUGAGAGCUCUAGAAAUUGGGAAUACAGUGAGGUUAUGGUAAAUUGGGGCCAUACUGGAGGGUAGCUUAUGUACUUAGCUCACACCUGAGCUUAUGUGGUGGGUUUUGUGCUUGGAACUAAACCUAAGUUGAUGAAGAAGACCUAGCUCCUGAGAUCAAAGGUGGUAGACGGGUGUAAAUAGGCAUUUUCAAUGUUACAAUUAUAUAACAUCUUCAAUGGUAGGAGUGACAAGAUGGUGCCAUGGCAAAACUGGGAAGGGCAUCUCAUCCAGCCUUGGAAAUUUAGGAAGUAGGACACUUUAAGGAUGAGCGGGGGCUGAGAAAUAACAGAUAUAGUGUGAGGAAGCAGGGUUUUAAGAAAUCUUUGCCCCUUUUGCAAAGGCCCUCAGUCAAGAGAAUAUGCCCAGCUUAUGGACUUAUAAGGAGUUCAUUCGAGUUCAUUCAAGUACUGAGAACUAGAAAGCC
rnacentral:lncRNA from 1 species